rnacentral:misc_RNA from 1 species
AUCAAAGUAUGGAAGAAAAUCCAGAAGCUCUUGAGUGAUUUUCCUAAAAUGAAUGUUCACUUAGGUACUGUUUUGCUGAUUAAUGCAAUUGCCAGCUUUCUCCACUCUACAGCUUAUAUCCUGUGAAUAGUUAUGAAUUUCUGUGCUCAUUUGUUACAGUCCCUACAUCAAUGCUGCAUACUCCACCUCUUAAGUUAUUUCCUAGGCAUCCCCACCCAUCCCUGCUCCGAAUCCAUGGGGGCCCAAGCGCUUUAUUCCACUUCUGCUGUCUAAAAUACCUCCUUCCCAAAUCAUGCGAGGAUCCCCUAGCUCGUUUUAGUGUUUGUUGGACAUUUUCAACCGGAAUGUCCAAGUCUGGUUGGUUAGCACUAUUUGUGCCUGGAUUGUUUUCAUUUGGAUAACAAGUGGCAGGAUCAUGCCUGUCCCAUUGGCCUUCUGUAGUUUCAUCAAUCACCAUAGAGUUCACAACAGAAGAUGAAGUUUCUUCCGUAUGAUGGGGAAAUGGAGGAAGUGGAGGGAAAGGAUGGAAAGGCAUGCC